rnacentral:rRNA from 1 species
UUGGAAACUGGCUUAACUUGAGUGCAGUAGAGGUAAGUGGAACUCCAUGUGUAGCGGUGGAAUGCGUAGAUAUAUGGAAGAACACCAGUGGCGAAGGCGGCUUACUGGACUGCAACUGACGUUGAGGCUCGAAAGUGUGGGUAGCAAACAGGAUUAGAUACCCUGGUAGUCCACACCGUAAACGAUGAACACUAGGUGUUAGAAGGUUUCCGCCUCUUAGUGCCGAAGCUAACGCAUUAAGUGUUCCGCCUGGGGAGUACGACCGCAAGGUUGAAACUCAAAGGAAUUGACGGGGACCCGCACAAGCGG